UACGAGAGGCCCAAACGUUAUUCGGAAUUACUGGGCUUAAAGAGUUCGUAGGCGGCGCAGAAAGUAGGGUGUGAAAGCCCUCGGCUCAACCGAGGAAGUGCGCCCGAAACUGCAGAGCUUGAGUACCGGAGAGGAUGGCGGAAUUCCCCAAGUAGAGGUGAAAUUCGUAGAUAUGGGGAGGAACACCGGUGGCGAAGGCGGCCAUCUGGACGGAUACUGACGCUGAGACGCGAAAGCGUGGGGAGCAAACAGG
rnacentral:rRNA from 1 species